AUUGAACGCUGGCGGCAUGCCUUACACAUGCAAGUCGAACGGUAACAGGUCUUCGGAUGCUGACGAGUGGCGAACGGGUGAGUAAUACAUCGGAACGUGCCCGAUCGUGGGGGAUAACGGAGCGAAAGCUUUGCUAAUACCGCAUACGAUCUACGGAUGAAAGCAGGGGACCGCAAGGCCUUGCGCGGACGGAGCGGCCGAUGGCAGAUUAGGUAGUUGGUGGGAUGAAAGCUUACCAAGCCGACGAUCUGUAGCUGGUCUGAGAGGACGACCAGCCACACUGGGACUGAGACACGGCCCAGACUCCUACGGGAGGCAGCAGUGGGGAAUUUUGGACAAUGGGCGAAAGCCUGAUCCAGCCAUGCCGCGUGCAGGAUGAAGGCCUUCGGGUUGUAAACUGCUUUUGUACGGAACGAAAAGACUCUUUCUAAUAAAGAGGGUCCAUGACGGUACCGUAAGAAUAAGCACCGGCUAACUACGUGCCAGCAGCCGCCGUAACAC
rnacentral:rRNA from 1 species